AUCUUUCUGCCGUCACCCACGACCUCGCGGUCACCUCCUCCACAAAGCAAACGGCGGAUGGCCUCUCUGUAACUCAUCGUCCCGCUCACCGUGCUCGAGCGCGGCAGCCAACGGCCUCUCUUGCUCUCUCUCUCAAGCUCUCCAACCCUCCUCUCUGUCUGUCUUCCCCCCUUCCCUCCCGUUUUUGGCCUCGUGGCUGGACAACGUCACGGCUAAGAUAAAUUCGGGGAUCAAUUCGAAGCUCUCCUUCCUUCCUCCAAAUAGGAUUCUACACCAGUGACUCGACCGGCUUUUUAUUAAAGCCGGCUAUGGAUUGGCCGACGUCAUUAGCCUUCGGUGGUUCGAAGGCAGUUCGGCUACCUCCCGU
rnacentral:lncRNA from 1 species